UUAUGAUACACCUGCUGACCUGCUGAUUGGUUGAGGAAAGAUGGGGUCUUCAGAUACACUUGCUGGUUGGUUAGGGGCAUAUAAGGUCACUAUAGGGACAGGCGAAGAGGGGGCCAUGUACCUUUCCUAUUAGGGGGCAGGAAUUCCUAGGCCAGAUUGCUCAGCUGAGGGAGGGGGCAUUACGAGUUGGGUGGGACAAUGAUAAGGGUCUGGCAAUUCUUGUCUUGGCCAGAGGCUUUGAGUUCUUCUGUCUCCUUGAAGGGACCUUGAAGUCCAACAAUCUUUCCACCAACCCUUGGAGGAAAGUCAUCAUUUCUUCCGUUUUACUGUAGAGAAAUGGAUAAUUCAUUUUUCCAGAGUGACAUUACCGGCACAGUUCACCUUUGUUUGUAGGUCUCCCCUUUGACGCCUGUGCUUUUUUCUUUGACACUUUGAGGCCCUGGAGUUUGGACCCAAAAAAAGAGUUCCUCUUGUGAAGCUUUUGUAUGUUUCUAAAUUUUCUUCAUGAUGACUGCCCUUCCCAUGUUUAAUUUGAGGUCGACCCUGGGGUAUGUAGAGAAACUUUCCCACAUGUUGGAGAACUCAACUCUUAGCUAUCCUUCUGGACUAGCCUAAGUAAAAUGGUUAAGCCAGAGUGAAUAUGGACUACUGGAGGCAGUGGUGGUGACUAAAGCAUCGGAAAGCUGGCCUUGGGGUUGAAGCCCACCCAGAGUGUGGGCCAGCCUGAGUAUCUUGUUUAUCCGGGACAAAGUUAGUCAUCCAGCUAAAUGUCUUGCCUGGACCAUUCCAAAGAAUCUAUAUCCUUGGAGUUCCCGUCGUGGCUCAGUGGUUAACAAAUCCAACUAGGAACCAUGAGGUUGUGGGUUCAAUCUCUGGCCUUGCUCAGUGGGUUAAGGAUCCAGCGUUGCCGUGAGCUGUGGUGUAGGUUGCAGACACGGCUCGGAUCCUGUGUUACUGUGGCUCUGGUGUAUGCUGGUGGCUACGGCUCUGAUUAGACCCCUAGCCUGGGAACCUCCAUAUGCUUUGGGAGCGGCCCAAGAAAUGGCCAAAAAAAAGAGACAAGAAUCUGUAUCCUUGUCUUUGAGGACAAAGGGAAUAAAUUAUCAUUCCUCCUUUCCUACUCAUGUUUGCUACUCACUUAAAGCAUCAUGGCUGGGGAGAAACAGUAUUUUUCCCACUUGCUCCUUUUGAAACAUCAAUUUAUGAUGAGCUAUAGAUGUCAGAGUUAGGCUUCUCUUAUUCAGACAAUUCCUAUCUCUAUCCCUCCACGUGUUUCUAAUUCAAAAUUCCUGGUCCAAGUGUUCUUGGACCCCUAGGGCAAGGCAAAUUUGCAUCUUCAUUGAUAAUUUUACAAAAGUAUUUUUAGAUUGGUUGGAGUUAUUCAAAGCACAAAGACAAGAACUAACUAGUGACUUGUUAAGCCCUCAGGCAAGCCAAAGUCUUCCAUUGAAAUUCUAAUUCCUUAGAUAAAUUCCAUUUGUGUCUGAAGGGAUACCAUAUAGGGGUGCCAUUUUUUUUUUGUCCCUGAGGACAGUAAGUAGAUAAAAAUUCUUUACCUUCUUUUCCCUCCUGAAUGACUUUAGACACACAUGCAACCACAGAAAAAUGUGAGAAUCAACUGCAUUCUAGCGACUGUGAUUCAGCCUUACCGAGCCAAAUAAUUACACUGUUUAUCUGUUUAAAAAAAAACAAACAAACACUAUUUUAAGAAUUUAAAGCACUUCCUAAUAUCUCUUUCUUUCUGCCUACUUCAAUUUCUAUUCAAAGAUUAUUUUUACUGUGGACACUCACAUUCAGCAUUCUCAGCCCUGCUAAGGGAAAGAAAUUUCUCAUUCCUCAGAAUCUGUUUAGUCUGGUGUAUGAAUCAACUGUCACCUGUUCUGUGAACUAUAGCAGCCUGCCUACUUGCAUUUUACAUCUUGCAGAGCUGGUGUCACAUUACUACUUUUUUUAAAUUGAAAUAUCCACAAUGGGAAUUCCCAUUGUGGCUCAGUGGGUUAAGAACCCAACAUAGUACCUGUGAGGAUUUGGGUUCAAUCCCUGGCCACACGCAGUGGGUUAAGGAUCCCGAAUUGUCACAAGCUACAGCGUAGGUUGCAGAUGUGGUUUGGAUCUUGUGUUGCUGCGGCUGUGGUGUAGCCUGCAGCUGCAGCUCUGACUGCACCCCUGGCCCAGAAACUUCCAUAUGCCACAGGUGUGGCUGUAAUUUAAAAAGAAAAGAAAAAUAUCCACAGUGAAAUACUCUACAACAGGACCAUCUACAGCUUAUUAAACAAUGGAUAAAUUAAUUAAUUAUAUCUUUUGCAUAAAUAUUAAUAGAUUCCCCAUUUUAAAGAAGAGAAACUAAGCCCCAGGAAGGCUUUGUACUUGACCAGAGUCACGCAUUUACAAGGAAUGAAGCCAAAGCUAGAGUGGAGGUAGCUGGUUCCAGAGCUGGCACUUGCAGUCAUCACAUUUUCAUUGCUCCAUGUCACCUGAUACAGUGCUUGGUGCGAAGUGACCCAAAAAGGCACUUCCAACUAAUCUAGGAAAUGUACAUUUAUGUUGAGCACUUACUUGGUGUUUCUUUUAUAACUCCACACAAUUCUAGUCAUAAACAUAUCACAUAAAAUUCUAUUGCAGGCAACAAACAGUAAAUCAUGGUUAUUUUUGUCUCACAUUUGAAGUACAGUGCCUCCAAUAGACAGGAACCAGGCAUUUAGUCACUGAAGCCAUCACUGUGUCUUAGAAGAAAUACCCUUUUUAAUGGCUAUAGAAAUGAGAAAUGAAUCUUCUGAAGCCAUAUGAAAGAAAGAGAGUCUAUUGCCCUGAUUCUUAGCAAUGAUACCUUGCCAUAAAAUUGCCAUCGCUCUGUUGCUGGUUCUUACGAUCUAUGAUAAGGGGAGACAUAGUGUGUACUGCAAUAAGUUUCUGAAGGACAAAAGUAGGAAAAAGCAAAGUUGGUGAAAUGACUUACUAGUUGCUUGGUGAAGGUGAAUGCUAUAAGUAGGAGACAGUGUUUCUGAUACCACUAACCUUGAGAUUCUCAUGUACUUGACCGAAAGAGUCAUCUGUCGGGAGCAUUUAUACAUGCCGUGGGGCCCCUGAAGUUGCAAGGUAAGUGAAAAAUACAUUCUCACUCCCUAUUUGGGGCCUCCAUUCAUCUUCUUGUGUGUCUGUUUCCACCUCAGAUGUAACCCCUGUCUUCUUCCAUUAUCUUCACUCUACAGAAAACCCUCCAGAUCUCUCUCCUCAUCUCCUCUUUCCUUCCUGCAAACUAUCAUCAGGUUACCAGCUUGAUCUGUUUCAGCACAGAUUUGAUCACAGCCUGAUCCCCUCCAUUAAACAAUCGACCCUCCCCUUUGCCUGUGGGAUAAAAACUGCACUCCUUGUCCAUGACCUGCCCUUCCUUACCUGCAGGUCUCACACCUGAGCACCUUGUGGUUCCCUGAUUUACCAUGAUCCCUAUACUCAAACUUUCUGGCUUUUGCUUCUUUUCUUAUGCUCCCUCCACAUAGAGAACACAAUCUAGAACUUCUAUUUUGCUUUACUUUUCAGCUUCUUUUCCCCAUGACUUAAUAAAUGAUAAUGGCAAACGCUUGCUAUGUGCCAGGCACUAUUUUAAGAACCUCACAUACAUUCACUUCAUCAUUCUCACCACAAACGUGGAUGAUGGAUGUAUUUAGUAGGUUUUAUAGAGGAGCAGAAUGAGAACAGAGAGGAUAAGCCAUUUGCCUAAGACCAGAUAGGAGGUAAGUGGCAGAGCUGGGUCUUGAACCUGGCUAGUCUAACUCUCCAGUUCCUGCACUUAACUUGACCAUCACUCUGCCUCUAACUGAGGUGUUCGACCAGGUCUAGGGGCCAUGUAGACUCCCAGCCUUGAUUGAAGCAUUAAAGUCAGAGGUAUAAGCUAAUUUCUUUUUUUUUUUUUCCACCCACUCUCUCUCUCCCUCUCUGUCUUUAAGAGGCCAUUAUUGGUUCAGUGGACAGUUUUGUAAUUAAUGGUGUCUUAAAAUGAAGAUAACAGUAAUUUUUUUGACUAAAUCAACAUCUUUCCUUUAUUUGCCAUCACUAACUAUAUCAUCAGGGGAUGUCUCAUCCUUCCGAAAACUUUCUAGGACAAAUCAUUAACCUCACUGCCCCAAAUUAAUGAUUAUAUCCUCUAGUUUUGUUGAUGUUGAGGGUUCUCUGCAGUUGGUUGUAAACUCUUUGAUGGCAGAAGUUUUGCUUUCUCUUUCUCUCUCCCUCUCUCUCUCCUUUAUUAUUAUUAUUUUUAAUCUGCUAACUAUCCCUGCCCCGCCUCCCCACUGCAGUUCUUAAUACUGUAUGUGUGGAGUUCCAUGUUUAACACAUCUUUUAGUAGCUGGUGAGUGAAAUUAACAAAAGUAUGAAGUAACCAAAUGCAGUUACACCCAUGAUAAAUCUUCAUGGAAGAGAAAUGAAUGAAGAACAGCUACUUCUAACACAUCGAAGGAGACUGGAGCCAUAUGGAGUUCAUUUUCUUGCUUGGCUGUCAGUCAGCCUGGGAGAGCUUAUAAAAGUAAGAGCUGAAUUACAGAAAACAGCAAUCGAGCUGUGUUCAUCUCUAAGCUCACACCUAAGUGAAAAUUAUUCAUAUAAUUGUAUUUAUCUGAUAAGUUGAAAGAAGACCAGGUAAGCCCUUUCCAAAAAGGAAGCAAUGCAACAACUAUCUUUUCACAGAUGAGUGGUAAUACUCAUUCCAAUAUUACAUGGCUAGUUCUAAGGCCUGGCACACAUAUUGCCUGACUGGUUUAAAUGGAGUUAAUUUCUUAUGAUAGAGAAAUCUUACAUAACAGAUGGUUCAUAAGACUCUAUUUAAUAGCCAAUCUGUUACAUCCAAGAUGUCAUCAUUUUUGAAAGAUUUUAAAGUUUGUGUGUUACAAUUUUAAAUCUAUAUGUGUGAGAAAACAGGUGAUUUUGAAAUAAUAAUUGCUGACUGUUGCUGCUUAAUUGGUAGUAGAAAUUUUAAGAGCCACUGAGCUAAAAUGGGAAAUGAAUGGUUGUAGCUGUUUUAUGAACAUUCAUACAUAAAGUAAUAUAAUGAAAUGACAAUUCAUUUUGCAUCUCGUGCUUUGGGCAGGAAAUUUUACUAUGAAGUCAAACUUCAGCUCUGAGUUAAUGAUUCAUGAUUUUUCUGUCUUAUCUGGCACCAAUUCAUUACUUUAAAAACAGCACAUAUGCUGAAAUUCUAUUCUUAGAAAUAAAUUAAUUCAUAGCAUUGUAAUAAAAAGUUCUUUAAUGAGUUUAGAUAAAAUAUAGUUACACUAGUGACCCUUUAAGUUCAUAAAAUGAUACCAUUUAUUGUGAUCUGAAAAUAUUGUUUAGGGAGUUCCCGUCAUGUCUCAGUGGUUAACAAAUCCAACUAGGAACCAUGAGAUUGCGGUUCAAUCCUUGCUCAGUGGGUUAAGGAUCUGGCAGUGCCGCGAGCUGUGGUGUAGGUUGCAGACGUGGCUCGGAUCCCACAUUGCUGUGGCUCUGGUGUAGGCCGGCGGCUACAGCUCCGAUUCGACCCCUAGCCUGGGAACCUCCAUAUGCUGCAGGAGCAG
rnacentral:lncRNA from 1 species